rnacentral:tRNA from 1 species
GUUGUGGCUCAGUGGCAGAGUGCUUGCCUUCCACAUGUGAGGCACUAGGUUCGAUCCUUAGCAUCACA